GACGAACGUUGGCGGCGUGCUUAAUACAUGCAAGUCAACUGAAGCAGUGGUAGCAAUAUCGCUGUGGAGGUGGCGCACGGGUGAGUAACACGUAGGUAAUCUGCCUUCAGGUCUGGCAUAACUCCGGGAAACCGGGGCUAAUAGCAGAUGAUGCAGCGGCUCGACAUCGAGACAGUUGUUAAAGCUAUGGCGCCUGAAGAUGAGCCUGCGUCUGAUUAGCUAGUUGGCGGGGUAACGGCCCACCAAGGCAACGAUCAGUAGCUGGUCUGAGAGGAUGAUCAGCCACACUGGAACUGAGACACGGUCCAGACUCCUACGGGAGGCAGAAGUAAGGAAUAUUGCUCAAUGGGAGAAAUCCUGAAGCAGCAACGCCGCGUGAGGGACGAAGGGCUUUUGCUUGUAAACCUCUGUAGUGAGAGAAAAAAAUCCCAAUCUUUGGGACAUGAUGGUAUCUCAAAAGUAAGCCCCGGCUAACUACGUG
rnacentral:rRNA from 1 species